rnacentral:rRNA from 1 species
UACGUAGGCAGCAAGCGUUGUUCGGAAUUACUGGGCGUAAAGAGUGUGUAGGCGGUGCUCUAAGUCUGUUGUGAAAUCUCCCGGCUUAACUGGGAGGGUGCGGCGGAGACUGGAGUGCUAGAGUGUGGGAGAGGUAAGCGGAAUUCCUGGUGUAGCGGUGAAAUGCGUAGAUAUCAGGAGGAACACCUGUGGUGUAGACAGCUUACUGGACCACGACUGACGCUGAGACACGAAAAGCGUGGGUAGCAAAACAGG